GCAUUCUAGCUCUGGGUUGACAGAGUGAGACCAGUUUCAUAAAAAGAGAUUCAUAAGACACUCUUGAUGCGACUCAUUAUAAUUUGUAAAGUGGAAACUCAUUCUUGAUAUUACCUUAGCAGCAUGUCCCCGAGAAAGUGUCGGAGCCUUUACCUCGACCUUCCCGUGAAAAAGGGAACAGAAUAGUCAACGGAAAAGGAGAAGUUCCAUGAAGGCAAGGCAAGUUCA
rnacentral:lncRNA from 1 species